GCCUACGGCCAUACCACCCUGAAAGUGCCUGAUCUUGUCUGAUCUCAGAAGCCAUACAGGGUCAGGCCUGGUUAGUACCUGGAUGGGAGACCGCCUGGGAAUACCAUGUGUCAUAGGCU
rnacentral:rRNA from 1 species